rnacentral:rRNA from 1 species
CCCUACGGGGUGCAGCAUGCGCGAAAACUUUACAAUGCGGGAAACCGUGAUARGGGAACUCYGAGUGCCCGUUAAAUCGGGCUGUCCAUCAGUUUAAAUAACUGGUGAARAAAGGGCCGGGCAAGACCGGUGCCAGCCGCCGCGGUAAUACCGGCGGCUCGAGUGGUGGCCACUAUUACUGGGCUUAAAGCGUUCGUAGCUGGUYUGUUAAGUCUCUGGGGAAAUCUUCCGGCUUAACCGGAAGGCGUCUCAGGGAUACUGGCAGACUAGGGACCGGAAGAGGUGAGAGGUACUYCAGGGGUAGGAGUGAAAUCCUGUAAUCCUUGRGGGACCACCUGUGGCGAAGGCGUCUCACCAGGACGGCUCCGACAGUGAGGAACGAAAGCUGGGGGAGCAAACCGGAUUAGAUACCCGGGUAGUCCCAGCYGUAAACGAUGYRCGUUAGGUGUAUCGGUGACCACGAGUCACCGAGGUGCCGAAGAGAAAUCGUGAAACGURCCGCCUGGGAAGUACGGUCGCAAGGCUGAAACUUAAAGGAAUUGGCGGGGGAGCAC